GCUGGAGGACCAGAGUUUGUCCUGCAGACCCAGGGAGGAGAGUUGCACUGGGGAGAAGGAGAGAUGGGGAGCAGGCUAAGAGGACAUCUGGUUACACCUGUUCUCAGCAUGAUUCAGGCGAGAAGAAAAACCACUGUCAGCAGAUACGUUUUAAAAUGAGAUAUUGUGUUUGGUUUGGAAGAAUCAAAUAAAAAAUUUAAACAGAUUAAAUUUAACCACACGUCACAGAAAUGACUGAAGAAUAGAUCAAAGCUGCUUUCAUAGUAUAAUAUUUUUAAUCGUGUGAGUUUUUGCACCAAAAAAAAACUGACAUAUUUUUAUAAUCUUUGUGGGGUUUUUUAACAGUAAGAAUGAUCGUGUGCGUUCCACAUUUCCACAUGUAACACGCUGCGCAAAGGAAGGCUUUUAUUCCCACCUCCCUGAAAUGCGCGUGUGCAUUUUCCUUUUGAACACUGGUUUUUGAGGUACUGGAGACCUCUUGAUGUAAGAGUUCUCCAAAAUGUUCUUCAAACUAAGGCUUUUCAUUAGAUGAAUGGAACUUGGAGAUCUGGCAAGGAUUAUGCUGCAGCAAACCCAUAGAAUUAUUUUCAUGUCUGUGCUCUGCAUUAACUUGUAAUUCAACAUCAGGAUUACCUUUGCUUCUUAUUUUUAACUAAUGAGUCUGUUAUGGGUCCAAAGCAAAUAACAGAGGAUGAGAGAAAAGAGUUCAAAGUGUUUAAUGGUCAGAAGGCAUCAUGGCAACUGUCGCAAUGGACUGAGAGCUAAGCCCCUGCGUGACUUGGCUCCUGAAGAUGCUCACUGGGUGUUCUCCAGCUAUACCCCUGCAGGUGCAGUCAAUACACGCACAGAGCAUCCACACUUUUCUUUCAAGGAGGAUUGUCUAAAAAUGCCUACUGAAGAUUUUUUAAGUUAGAUAUUUACCUCCAUUAAUUCCUCCACGUGCCUCUCAGCGUUCAUAAAUCAACAGCUGAAAGAUGUCUCCUAGAGUGCUAGGAAGGUACUAGGAUGAGGACUUUGAAAGUUUCAAAGGGGCUUGUUUGGCAUUGCUUUUUGUUGAUUGGCUUGUUUAGGGGAAAAUGUUGGCCCUGGCUGCUUCUGUGUGCUUUCUCAAUUCCCUGUUCUUUCGACUUACGACCUCAUUUCCUAAAGUUCAGGCCAACUCCGGCUGCACUGCAUGUUAAAGCACCAGGGAAUAAGAGCAUCAUGGACUAGUACUCCUGGGAUUCAUCAGGGACAAUAAACUCACCCUAGCAAGAAAAGUGUGGGCAUGCUCCUGACAUACAGGACAUCCUAUUCAUUUGGCACUCCCAAGAUGACGUUGUUCAAGCUUUUGAAACCCAUUGUUCAUUUUGAUUAACACAAAAAUAACAUACUACCCUUUGAAGUUUUUUGAAAUUUCAAAAUAAAUUCAACCCAUAACUCAGAAACAAUUAAGGUAACAGGACUACACACUGACGACUUCUCAAACUCUACAAUAGAAAGAAGGAAACAAAAUGUUUGUUACUUACAGACUACAUUAUGAUUAUGCACCAAGAUAAUAUAAAAGUACUGACUGUAAAAUUCUUAGUAUUCAUAAAAAUUAGGGAAGGGGUCAGAUACAAGAUAAAAAUACAAAAAUCUCCAAAAUAAAUACUGUUUCUAUUCUAACAACAAGCAGAAAAUAUAGGGAGAAAAAUGCAUUCUUAAGAGUAUUGGAAAAAAAUAUAAAGAACACUAAUAAGAAA
rnacentral:lncRNA from 1 species